rnacentral:rRNA from 1 species
CCUACGGGCGGCUGCAGUGGGGAAUCUUGCGCAAUGGGCGAAAGCCUGACGCAGCAACGCCGCGUGUGUGAUGAAGGUCUUCGGAUCGUAAAGCACUGUCGCGAGGGACGAAUAAGGCCCUGGCCAAUACCUGGGGACGAUGACGGUACCUCGAGAGGAAGCACCGGCUAACUCUGUGCCAGCAGCCGCGGUAAUACAGAGGGUGCUAGCGUUGUUCGGAAUUAUUGGGCGUAAAGCGCGUGUAGGCGGUUCACCAAGUUGGGUGUGAAAGCCCUCGGCUUAACCGAGGAAGUGCGCCCAAAACUAGUGAACUCGAGUACCGGAGAGGGUGGCGGAAUUCCCGGUGUAGAGGUGAAAUUCGUAGAUAUCGGGAGGAACACCAGCGGCGAAGGCGGCCACCUGGACGGAUACUGACGCUGAGACGCGAAAGCGUGGGGAGCAAACAGGAUUAGAUACCCGGGUAGUC